AUUGAACGCUGGCGGCAUGGCUAAAACAUGCAAGUCGAACGAUCCCUUCGGGGAGAGUGGCGAAAGGGCGAGGAAUAGAAUCGAAUGUACCCCAAGGUGGGGGAUAGCCUCUGGAAACGGAGGGUAAUACCCCAUGUGCUCUACGGAGGAAAGGUUUACCGCCUUGGGAGCAGCGAUUCUCCUAUCAGGUAGUUGGUGAGGUAACGGCUCACCAAGCCGAAGACGGGUAGCGGGUGUGAGAGCAUGACCCGCCGCAUCGGGACUGAGACACUGCCCGGACUCCUACGGGAGGCUGCAGUAACGAAUCUUCCGCAAUGGGCGAAAGCCUGACGGAGCAAUGCCGCGUGUGGGAUGAAGCGCCUUCGGCGUGUAAACCACUGUCAGGUCCUAGGAACACUGACCAGGACCAGAGGAAGGGCCGGCUAACCUCGUGCCAGCAGCCGCGGUAAUGUGACUAC
rnacentral:rRNA from 1 species